rnacentral:lncRNA from 1 species
GAAACUCCAGCAUCGCUGGCCGGAAAAUAUAGAGAGUCGAGCACGUAGGUGGAGCCCGUAGAACGUGAUCUGCUCUGAAAUUCAACUGCGCCAGCCAUUUGUGAGGGUUCGCUAUAGUUCUGAAAUCACCCCAUAACUCUCGAAAUCCGCAAACAAACCGUGGCAUACUAUGGGACAACAGUUGGCCCCGGAACCUCAAUCCGAGGAAGAAAGAAUAUUAAAUCAACAUAACCAACUACGGAUAGCAAUCGAACAAAUAUUACGCCAGUAUGGAUUAUACUCGAAAAAGGAGAUUGAUGAAAUCGUUACCAUAUUGGAGGAUGUAGGCAUCAGAAAUGUUAAAGCCCUUGCCGUGCUUGACCAGAAGGCCCUUCAAGCAAAGAAGAUGAAACCGGCUGUCAUAAAUAUUCUGAUGAAAAAAUCUCAAGAAAUGAAGAGGCAGACUGGCUGGUGAAAGAAUGCUGCAAACGUUAUUUGAGAAUAAGAAGUCAUGUAUCAGAUGGAAGCGUUCCUGAACAACGUUGAGUCUCGUGAGAAACAUACAGUAAAUAUUCCGAUUCGUCCUAUUGGCUGCCUUGUAUUCUAUCUAUUCCACUUUACCGUCAUGGAUAAAACAAAAGAUAAU